UGAGGGCGGAAUCCGUAAAAUGCCUCAAGGGGGUUUACUCUCUUGCCGUCAAGACCCAGCUGGAAGGAAGCUGCCGGUACAGACCCUGUUGGUAAAGGCAGGCCUACGCCGGCGCUUGUGGGGUGGUUUUGGAGCCCGGCUUGGAGGCAGAUUGAGUGUGGGAAGCCGCCUCCCGCCGUGCUAAAUGACGUUCAUCUGCUUCGGCUCGAGAGAGUAAAGUGUACUGGUGUACGUAUGCAAGAUGGAAAGCACAUAGGAAACUCACAUACUACGUCUUCAAAUAGCAGCACUGUGACGCAGAGGUUUCAGGAGGCUUAUGAGCAACUGUUAACUAUGGACAUGGUCCUGGUCAAAGAAAAAAAUCUGUUAUUACAAAAGAAUGCUGUCAAGCUUAUUCCAAGUUCAAUGAAAUCUACCUAUUCCUUCAUCACGUGAAAUAAAAAAGUGGAGAAAUGUUUCUAAUUGUGCCCUUAUAGACAAACAUGUUAUUAACACUUCUAAUAGUCAUAUAAUGUAGUUAUUUUUGAUGGAAAAGGAUCCAUUUUUAUCCCCCCUGGAAAAAUAGUAAACCACUGAUUAUGUUACCCCUGUGACAUUUUUACUUUUCAUGCUAUUUCAUCAACAUUCAUGUGUUUUCUCCAUUAAAAACUCU